GGUCAGACCAAGCGGCAGUCAGACAGAAUACAAGUCAGUUCAGUUAGCAAACUUCCAGAGCUCCGUCCGAGGAUGCCCGACUUUUGCUCAGCUUAUGGGUGCGGAAAUAAAAGGGCAUUACAAACCAGAUCCCGGGGAAUUACCUUCCACAAGUUUCCCAAAGACACUACACUGAGAAAAAAGUGGGAGCGGAACUGGCCGUGCGACGGGAUGGUUUUGUUGCAACAGAUCGUUCCAUGUUGUGCAGUGAGCACUUCAAGGACGAGGACUUCGACCGCACAGGACAGAUUGUGCGGCUUAGACUGAAUGUCAUACCAUCUAUUUUCAAUUUUCCAACUUCUCUCCAAAAACAAGAAGUAAAGAGGAGCGCCCGUACUGCAAAGAAAGCAGAGGAGAGCCUGGCUAUGGAUUUAACUCAGUUUUCAAAUAAAGAUGAACCUCUGAAAAAUCUUGACCACAACUAUGCAUUGCCGACUUCCCCCACUGCUCUGAAGGCAAAGCUUAGUGAGGCCUGGGCAAGAGUGGAAAGCCUUGAGCGGGAGAAGCGGAAUGCUAAGAUCCGAGAGCUGAGGGCUAAGAAAAAUAUGGGUUCGGUUCUGCAGGAUCUGAGGGAGAAGAACCUUAUCAAUGAAAAUCUUCAAGAUAAACUGGAAUGUUACUCAGAUGUCCCAAUAGAGCUGUUCUCAAAGAAGAGCCACGAGUACACAAAAGCACAGAGAGAGUUUGCCCUCACUCUCCACCUUCAUGGACCAAAGGCUUACAGCUACCUGAAAGAGUCUUUACAUUUUCACCUUCCACAUCCACAUACAUUGCAAAGGUAUUUGUCAGUUUGUCCAGCUGUCAGUAUUAAUGAAUGAUAUCUAAAAAUAAUUUCAGACUAUUGAUAGAUGGAAAUAUUUGCAACAAGAAC